UCUGGGAAACUGCCUGAUGGAGGGGGAUAACUACUGGAAACGGUAGCUAAUACCGCAUAAUGUCGCAAGACCAAAGUGGGGGACCUUCGGGCCUCAUGCCAUCAGAUGUGCCCAGAUGGGAUUAGCUAGUAGGUGGGGUAACGGCUCACCUAGGCGACGAUCCCUAGCUGGUCUGAGAGGAUGACCAGCCACACUGGAACUGAGACACGGUCCAGACUCCUACGGGAGGCAGCAGUGGGGAAUAUUGCACAAUGGGCGCAAGCCUGAUGCAGCCAUGCCGCGUGUGUGAAGAAGGCCUUCGGGUUGUAAAGCACUUUCAGCGGGGAGGAAGGCGGUGAGGUUAAUAACCUCAUCGAUUGACGUUACCCGCAGAAGAAGCACCGGCUAACUCCGUGCCAGCAGCCGCGGUAAUACGGAGGGUGCAAGCGUUAAUCGGAAUUACUGGGCGUAAAGCGCACGCAGGCGGUCUGUCAAGUCGGAUGUGAAAUCCCCGGGCUCAACCUGGGAACUGCAUUCGAAACUGGCAGGCUAGAGUCUUGUAGAGGGGGGUAGAAUUCCAGGUGUAGCGGUGAAAUGCGUAGAGAUCUGGAGGAAUACCGGUGGCGAAGGCGGCCCCCUGGACAAAGACUGACGCUCAGGUGCGAAAGCGUGGGGAGCAAACAGGAU
rnacentral:rRNA from 1 species